ensembl:lncRNA
AAAAAGAAAUACUUAUUCUCACAUUCUAGAACACCAUUUUGAGGUAGUUACUGUCAUGAACUUUAGUUUUUACAGAUGAGGAACGAAAUGGAAGAUUAACUAACAGUUCAAAGUCAUACAUGAUUGAUGACAGAGAAAAUGCAGGCCAAGACUACCUAGGGAGAGCGUCAGCCACUGUUGGCUCAGCCUUCCUGCAUCAACUAACAAUCAAGAAAAUUCUACACAGGUAUGCCUACAAGCCAGUCUGGUCUAGGCAAUUCCUUAAUCAAGGCUUUUCCUUCAUAAAGACUCUAG